GCAUAUCAAUAAGCGGAGGAAAAGAAACCAACAGGGAUUGCCUUAGUAACGGCGAGUGAAGCGGCAAAAGCUCAAAUUUGAAAUCUGGCACUUUCAGUGUCCGAGUUGUAAUUUGAAGAAGGUAACUCUGGAGUUGGCCCUUGUCUAUGUUCCUUGGAACAGGACGUCACAGAGGGUGAGAAUCCCGUGCGAUGGGGUGUCCAAUUCUAUGUAGAGUGCUUUCGAAGAGUCGAGUUGUUUGGGAAUGCAGCUCUAAGUGGGUGGUAAAUUCCAUCUAAAGCUAAAUAUUGGCGAGAGACCGAUAGCGAACGAGUACAGUGAUGGAAAGAUGAAAAGAACUUUGAAAAGAGAGUGAAAAAGUACGUGAAAUUGUUGAAAGGGAAGGGCUUGAGAUCAGACUCGGUAUUUUGCGAUCCUAUCCUUCGUGGAGAGGUUUCAUUUGCAGCUUACCGGGCCAGCAUCGGUUUGGAUGGUAGGAUAAUGGCAUUGGAAUGUGGCUUUUCGGAGUGUUAUAGCCUUUGUUGAUACUGCCUAUCUAGACCGAGGACUGCGUCUUUGACUAGGAUGCUGGCAUAAUGAUCUUAAGCCGCCCCUCUUGAAACACGGACC
rnacentral:rRNA from 1 species